GUGCUCACUUCAGCAGCACAUAUACUAAAAUUGGAACAAUAUAUUGGAACAAUAUAAGGAUUAGCAUGGCCCCCGCACAAGGGUGACAUUCAAAUUCGUGAAAUGUUCCAUAUUUUU
rnacentral:snRNA from 1 species